CGAGGCGAGCUCCGGGAGCGGCCCUGCAGCAAAUCCAGCCAAAUUCCAGCCUGGAUGGGGCUGGCAGCAGCCGGGGCUAGGGCAGAGCAGGAGAGAGGAAGCAGCUGGUGGUGGUUGGAGAACUCUCCCUGGGGAAUGUUGCCUGGAGCAGAGGACACGCCACACCCGGGGGAAGCCGCAGCGAUUUGUGACUGUAGCCUCUAAAAAGUGAACAGAAGGCUGCUGUGUUGGGAUUCUUGCUCAAGUCCCAUCCCAUGGCCCAAUAUCCCACAGGCCCACAGGCCAGACCACAGCAGAUUUUGAUAAACCACUCUUUAUGCAAUAAAAGAACAAUAUUGAA